rnacentral:rRNA from 1 species
UAGUCAUAUGCUUGUCUCAAAGAUUAAGCCAUGCAUGUCUAAGUAUAAACAAAUUCAUACUGUGAAACUGCGAAUGGCUCAUUAAAUCAGUUAUAGUUUAUUUGAUGGUAUCUUGCUACAUGGAUAACUGUGGUAAUUCUAGAGCUAAUACAUGCUGAAAAGCCCCGACUUCUGGAAGGGGUGUAUUUAUUAGAUAAAAAACCUUCGCCUUCGGGCUCUUGGUGAUUCAUAAUAACUUCUCGAAUCGCAUGGCCUUGUGCCGGC